UGAGGAAUUUUCCGCAAUGGGCGAAAGCCUGACGGAGCGACGCCGUGUGGGUGAUGAAGGCCUUCGGGUCUUAAAGCCCUGUCAGCGUGGAAGAUAUUGACGGUACACGCAGAGGAAGCCCCGGCUAACUACGUGCCAGCAGCCGCGGUAAUACGUAGGGGGCGAACGUUGUCCGGAAUUAUUGGGCGUAAAGCGCGUGUAGGCGGUUUUUUAAGUCAAAUGUUAAAUCCCCGGGCUUAACCCGGGUUCGCAUUUGAUACUGGAAGACUUGAGAAAUGUAGAGGGAAGCGGAACUACCGGUGUAGCGGUGAAAUGCGUAGAUAUCGGUAGGAACACCAGUGGCGAAGGCGGCUUUCUGGACAUUUUCUGACGCUGAGACGCGAGAGCAAGGGGAGCAAACGGG
rnacentral:rRNA from 1 species